UUUUUAUUUAUUAAUAUUAUUUAUUAAUGAAUUUUAUUUAAUAAAAAUAAUUUUAUUUAUGUUUAAGGGUUUAGUAUUUUUUAAAGAUAAACUAAUUUUUAUUAUAAUUAAUUUUUACUGUAAAGGAUUAUUGAAAUAUUUUGAAAAAUUUUUUAUUUAAAAGAACUAUUAAUUUUAGGUAUCUUGUGUAUCAGAGUUUAUUAAAUAAAUUUUAAUAAUAAUUAAUUUUCUCGAAUUAAAAAGAUCUAAUAAGUUAUUUUAGUUAAUGUAGAAUAAUUAUUAAAAAUAAUUUGUUAGAAAUGAAACGUUAAUCGUUUUUUAAUAUAUCUAGUUUUUUAAGAAAUAAAUUUAAUUUAGUUAAUUUAUUUUAUUUAUUUAUUUAAUUAAAGAUUUAAAAUAAAUUAAUAAUACUUUAAGGGAUGAGCUUUAAAGUAAAAUUUUAUAAAUAAAUUUAUUUAUAAAUAAUUGUAGGUUUAGAAAUAGCCAUCAAUAGAAAUUAUGUUAUAAUUUAUUUUUUGUUAUAAUAUUAUUUAUUUAUUAUUUUAAAUAUUUUAUUAAAAUAUAAAUUUUAAUUUUAAAAAUUUAUAAAUAAUGAUAAAAUUAGUAAAUUACUUAUUUAUAUAAAUAAAUAUUUUUGAUUGGUUUAUAUAAUUAAUUCGGCAAAUUAAAUGUGUUCGCUUGUUUAUCAAAAACAUGUCUAUUUGGUAUUUAAUAUAAAGUCUGGCCUGCCCACUGAUAAUUUUCAUUAAAGGGCCGCAGUAUUUUGACUGUGCAAAGGUAGCAUAAUCAUUAGUCUUUUAAUUGAAGGCUGGUAUGAAUGGUUGGACGAGAUACAUGCUGUGUCAUAAAAAUUAAUAAUUGAAUUUAACUUUUUAGUCAAAAGGCUAAAAUAAUAUUAAAAGACGAGAAGACCCCAUAGAGCUUUAUAUAAUAAAUCAUUAGAUUAUUUAGAUUUAUAAAAUUUAGUGAUUGAUUUAUAUUUUGUUGGGGUGACAAUAAAAUUUAUAAAACUUUUAUUUUUUAUAAACAUUAAUUUAUGAAUAAAUGAUCCAGUUUUAUUGAUUAUAAAAUUAAGUUACCUUGGGGAUAACAGCGUUAUUUUUUUUGAGAGUUCAUAUCGACAAAAAAGAUUGCGACCUCGAUGUUGGAUUAAGAGUAAUUUUGGGUGUAGCAGUUCAAAGUUUAAGUCUGUUCGACUUUUAAAUUCUUACAUGAUCUGAGUUCAAACCGGUGUAAGCCAGGUUGGUUUCUAUCUUUAAUUAAAUAAAAUAUUUUAGUACGAAAGGACCAAAUAUUUAAAAAAUUAUUUUUUUUUACUAUGAAUUUUAUUAAUU
rnacentral:rRNA from 1 species